rnacentral:lncRNA from 1 species
AAAAGAGAGCCCGUGAAUAAUUGGGUCUAGAGAUAAUUUAAAGAAUUUUGAUAUUUUUCAACUAAAAAUAUUUUGUCAAUUUCUCUUGGAGAGUAAGGUGGCCCCUACGAUCACUGACGUCAUCCUAAUCCUAAUCCGCCUGCGUGGCACUUCUGCAUUUCAUAAUAUGACGUCAUCCGGUGCGGCCACGGGUUUGACCUGCCUUCCCGUUAUUAAUCCCACGUGCAACAAUGAACCCGGCCGCAAGUUGCGCCCCCAUUGAAAUAUCUGAGAAAUGCCCGAAACAAUUAAAAUAUAUCCAAAAUCAUUUAAUAUUUCGGCAAAAUUUUGAAAGGGAGCCCCUAUAAAUUCGGCCCUCACCUAUAUUUUUUUCGGUUCACGACACUUACCCGACUAGCUGUACGGAACUCUGAGAUCCCCCUCUCCUAUUCCCGGUUUAACCGGUCACACUUGUAC